GAAUGAUAAAACAGCUUUAGGAAUUACAAAGUGUGUUUGACGUAAAAUGCAUCACUAAAGGUCAACUGUGCACCAGUGUGGGAAUGUCACCACAGACAGCAAAUUUGCAAUAACGCAA